rnacentral:misc_RNA from 1 species
GAUGAAGAACGUAGCGAAAUGCGAUAAGUAGUGUGAAUUGCAGAAUUCAGUGAAUCAUCGAAUCUUUGAACUCACAUUGCGCCCCAUGGUAUUCCGUGGGGCAUGCCUGUUCGAGCGUCAUUUACCCCCUCAAGCUCCGCUUGGUGUUGGGCGUCUGUCCCGCUUCGCGCGCGGACUCGCCCCAAAGGUAUUGGCAGCGGUCGUGCCAGCUUCUCGCGCAGCACAUUGCGCUUCUCGAGGCACCGGUGGGCCCGCGUCCAUCAAGCUCACCCCCCCAGUUUGACCUCGGAUCAGGUAGGGAUACCCGCUGAACUUAAGCAUAUCAAUAAGCGGAGGA